UACACACAUGAUAGUAGUACAUUAAAAACUAACAUGUCUAAUAUAUACAGACAACUUCCCCUGCUCAUUGAUAUGAUUAGACUCAAUGAGAGGGAAAUUCUCAUUAUUACUUUAUAUAUUACUCUAAUGGACUCAUAGUUUGCGAGCCCGAAAAUGACCAUGACCAUGACCGUAACCGUAACCAUAACCAUAAAUUGCUAACCACUUAAAUAUCAAAGUUUCUAAACUAUUUUACCCAUACAGCAGAAACACUUGGUUGCCUCUAC
rnacentral:misc_RNA from 1 species